GGUGAGUAACACGUGGGCAAUCUGCCCUUCACUCUGGGACAAGCCCUGGAAACGGGGUCUAAUACCGGAUACAACCACCGGCCGCAUGGUCUGGUGGUGGAAAGCUCCGGCGGUGAAGGAUGAGCCCGCGGCCUAUCAGCUUGUUGGUGAGGUAGUGGCUCACCAAGGCGACGACGGGUAGCCGGCCUGAGAGGGCGACCGGCCACACUGGGACUGAGACACGGCCCAGACUCCUACGGGAGGCAGCAGUGGGGAAUAUUGCACAAUGGGCGAAAGCCUGAUGCAGCGACGCCGCGUGAGGGAUGACGGCCUUCGGGUUGUAAACCUCUUUCAGCAGGGAAGAAGCGAAAGUGACGGUACCUGCAGAAGAAGCGCCGGCUAACUACGUGCCAGCAGCCGCGGUAAUACGUAGGGCGCAAGCGUUGUCCGGAAUUAUUGGGCGUAAAGAGCUCGUAGGCGGCUUGUCACGUCGGGUGUGAAAGCCCGGGGCUUAACCCCGGGUCUGCAUUCGAUACGGGCUAGCUAGAGUGUGGUAGGGGAGAUCGGAAUUCCUGGUGUAGCGGUGAAAUGCGCAGAUAUCAGGAGGAACACCGGUGGCGAAGGCGGAUCUCUGGGCCAUUACUGACGCUGAGGAGCGAAAGCGUGGGGAGCGAACAGGAUUAGAUACCCUGGUAGUCCACGCCGUAAACGGUGGGAACUAGGUGUUGGCGACAUUCCACGUCGUCGGUGCCG
rnacentral:rRNA from 1 species